rnacentral:rRNA from 1 species
AGGACGAACGCUGGCGGCGUGCUUCACACAUGCAAGUCGAGCGAGGCCCUUCCUUCGGGGAGGAGCCCUAGCGGCGAACGGGUGAGUAACACGUGGGCAACCUGCCCCUAGCUCUGGGAUAAGCCCGGGAAACCGGGUCUAAUACCGGAUAUGACUCUUGCAGGCAUCUGUGGGAGUGGAAAGAUUUAUCGGCUAGGGAUGGGCCCGCGGCCUAUCAGCUUGUUGGUGGGGUAACGGCCCACCAAGGCGACGACGGGUAGCCGGCCUGAGAGGGCGACCGGCCACACUGGGACUGAGACACGGCCCAGACUCCUACGGGAGGCAGCAGUGGGGAAUCUUGCACAAUGGGCGAAAGCCUGAUGCAGCGACGCCGCGUGAGGGAUGACGGCCUUCGGGUUGUAAACCUCUUUCAGCAGGACGAAGCGAAAGUGACGGUACCUGCAGAAGAAGGACCGGCCAACUACGUGCCAGCAGCCGCGGUAA